CAGCUCCCCGAGUGGUGAGGACGAUUAUUGGGCUUAAAGCGUUCGUAGCCGGGCUCAACAAGUCUUCCGUUAAAUCCAACGAUCUAAUCGUUGGGCCGCGGGAGAUACUGCUGGGCUAGGAGGCGGGAGAAGCCGACGGUAUUCCCGGGGUAGGGGUGAAAUCCUGUAAUCCCGGGAGGACCACCAGUGGCGAAGGCGGUCGGCUAGAACGCGCUCGACGGUGAGGGACGAAAGCUGGGGGAGCGAACCGGAUUAGAAACCCGGAUAGUCCCAGCUGUAAACGAUGCGGGCUAGGUGUUGGGGUGGCCACGAGCCACUUCAGUGCCGCGUGGAAGCAAUUAAGCCCGCCGCCUGGGGAGUACGGCCGCAAAGGCUG
rnacentral:rRNA from 1 species